GCUUUUUCUUUCUUCUUUCCAGCAUCAUCUGGCUGUCUGGCACCAUCAAAGAACUGCAUUUCUGACCCAACAGGAGCUCGUGGCUAGAUGGGGGCAGGAAGAAAGUUGGGGAAGAGACCUGUCAGCUGGGCUGCCUCACGGGGAGGGGGAAGCACGUGGCUAUACCACUCGCAUCCUGUUCAGCUUCAGCAUGAGUGUCAUCUGUGACACCUACAUGGUCCUUGCUUGAAACAGGAGGAGGAAAAAAAGCAGCUCUGGUGCUAGCAUCUCUUCUGAUGAGCCCACACCAGAAUACAACAGAAGAGAAGGCAAGGCCACACCAAAGAGGACCCAAGUCAGGUGCCAUAAGCGGGUGACGUCUCAACUCUCUGUCCUUUGGAGGAAGCUAUUUUAAUAGAGCCACUUUACUGCAGCUAUUUUGACAUGUGGAUAUUUUGAUUUG
rnacentral:lncRNA from 1 species